ANCCGCUCAGGACGAACGCUGGCGGCGUGCCUAAUACAUGCAAGUCGAGCGGACAGAAGGGAGCUUGCUCCCGGAUGUUAGCGGCGGACGGGUGAGUAACACGUGGGUAACCUGCCUGUAAGACUGGGAUAACUCCGGGAAACCGGAGCUAAUACCGGAUAGUUCCUUGAACCGCAUGGUUCAAGGAUGAAAGACGGUUUCGGCUGUCACUUACAGAUGGACCCGCGGCGCAUUAGCUAGUUGGUGGGGUAAUGGCUCACCAAGGCGACGAUGCGUAGCCGACCUGAGAGGGUGAUCGGCCACACUGGGACUGAGACACGGCCCAGACUCCUACGGGAGGCAGCAGUAGGGAAUCUUCCGCAAUGGACGAAAGUCUGACGGAGCAACGCCGCGUGAGUGAUGAAGGUUUUCGGAUCGUAAAGCUCUGUUGUUAGGGAAGAACAAGUGCGAGAGUAACUGCUCGCACCUUGACGGUACCUAACCAGAAAGCCACGGCUAACUACGUGCCAGCAGCCGCGGUAAUACGUAGGUGGCAAGCGUUGUCCGGAAUUAUUGGGCGUAAAGGGCUCGCAGGCGGUUUCUUAAGUCUGAUGUGAAAGCCCCCGGCUCAACCGGGGAGGGUCAUUGGAAACUGGGAAACUUGAGUGCAGAAGAGGAGAGUGGAAUUCCACGUGUAGCGGUGAAAUGAAGUAGGAGAUGUGGAGGAACACCCCAGUGGCGAAGGCGACUCUCUGGU
rnacentral:rRNA from 1 species